CGAGACCUGGUGGGACAGGCUCAAGCUCUGAACUGCCCCGACGGGCGGCUGUGAUCCCCGGUUGCACAAGAGCCACUGUUCUCCAUCGUAAGUCAAGUUCGGCCUUUCUUCUUGCUCGCAUUUCGGCACGCAUCUUGAUGAAGGGUGACACCUAGAAAUAAAUUAAGGCAACGCCGAAUCCCUGGCCUCCCCGCUCUCUUGCCGGUAGCUAAUGUCCCCCCAUUAACAGGAACAGACUGUGCUUGCCCGUGCAGUGCCCGACGGGGCCAGCAGGGGUCUGACAUUCGUUGCUUUUAACCCACAGGGGCCGACUCGGUGGUGAUGCUUCGGGAAGGAAAUCGGAUUGAGACGCUAACAGCCAUGGUUUGAGAUAGCAGACCUCUUAGAAAAGACAUUCAUAAAGGGAGCGACCUUAAUCCAGGAACUUAGACCAUCCAGAUUUCCUUCUGAAGCAAUCCACAGAUUGCCGUUCAGCCCCUAAAGAAGAUGCGGCCACCUCUUCCAGACAGAGGGAAGUCCACAUUUGUAACCAUCACUGCAGCCCGAGGGGCUAGGACCUGUCUCCUAGGACCAGCCGAGGACAAGCACGGAGAGCCCAGCUGGCCCGCACGGACACAGCCACACGGAGCUGGCGGUGGCCUCUGUCCCCAGGUCGCCUGGCCCACCGUGGUCACAGCCCCCUGGGGCGCCAACCACAGGACGCCUCCCUGUGGCACAAAGGGGU
rnacentral:lncRNA from 1 species